GACGAACGCUGGCGGCGUGCCUAAUACAUGCGAGUCGAACGCAUUUUCUUUCACCGUAGCUUGCUACACCGAAAGAAAAUGAGUGGCGAACGGGUGAGUAACACGUGGGUAACCUGCCCAUCAGCGGGGGAUAACACUUGGAAACAGGUGCUAAUACCGCAUAAUUCCAUUUACCGCAUGGUAGAUGGAUGAAAGGCGCUUUUGCGUCACUGAUGGAUGGACCCGCGGUGCAUUAGCUAGUUGGUGGGGUAACGGCCUACCAAGGCUGCGAUGCAUAGCCGACCUGAGAGGGUGAUCGGCCACACUGGGACUGAGACACGGCCCAGACUCCUACGGGAGGCAGCAGUAGGGAAUCUUCGGCAAUGGACGCAAGUCUGACCGAGCAACGCCGCGUGAGUGAAGAAGGGUUUCGGAUCGUAAAACUCUGUUGUUAGAGAAGAACAAGGAUGAGAGUGGAAAGUUCAUCCCUUGACGGUAUCUAACCAGAAAGCCACGGCUAACUACGUG
rnacentral:rRNA from 1 species